AUUGAACGCUGGCGGCAUGCCUAAUACAUGCAAGUCGAACGAGAUCUUCGGAUCUAGUGGCGCACGGGUGCGUAACGCGUGGGAAUCUGCCCUUGGGUUCGGAAUAACUUCUGGAAACGGAAGCUAAUACCGGAUGAUGACGUAAGUCCAAAGAUUUAUCGCCCAAGGAUGAGCCCGCGUAGGAUUAGCUAGUUGGUGGGGUAAAGGCCCACCAAGGCGACGAUCCUUAGCUGGUCUGAGAGGAUGAUCAGCCACACUGGGACUGAGACACGGCCCAGACUCCUACGGGAGGCAGCAGUAGUGAAUAUUGGACAAUGGGCGAAAGCUUGAUCCAGCAAUGCCGCGUGAGUGAUGAAGGCCUUAGGGUUGUAAAGCUCUUUUACCCGGGAUGAUAAUGACAGUACCGGGAGAAUAAGCUCCGGCUAACUCCGUGCCAGCAGCCGCGGUAACAC
rnacentral:rRNA from 1 species